GGACAGGUGACACCUGAGAUACCUGGCUCAGGUGAUAGGACACACCUGGCACAGGUGACAGCAGAGGUGACACAGGUGACGUCACUGGGAGCACAGGUGAGCUGUGCCCGUGGCCUGGGGGGGGCACAGGUGACACAGGUGUGGCUGUAGGUGACACAGGUGACACAGGUGUGGCUGUAGCUCAGUGCAGGUGACACAGGUGUGGUUGUAGGUGACACAGGUGACACAGGUGUGGCUGUAGCUCAGUGUAGAUCACACAGGUGACACAGGUGUGGCUGUAGCUCUGUGUAGGUGACACAGGUGUGGCUGUAGGUGACACAGGUGACCCUGGGGGUGGCACAGGUGACACAGGUGACACUCAGGUGUGUCCCCAGGGCGGCAUGCUGGCCGUCAGGGAGAACAGGU